ACUCAAGUCCACCUUCACUAGGACUCUUGUAGCUCCCAAGGGCCUCUCUGCCUCUUCACCACUUCACCUCGUGCCUUCUAGAAGGCAAUUUAGCUUCACUGUUAAGGCCAUCCAAUCAGAGAAGGUACACCACUUCCUCCAAUUUAUGUUCUAAUUAGUAAUUACUCUCUUUUCUUGUUAUUUAUCUAUCUAAUUCUAACCAAUGUCCUUUUUGAGCUAGUAUGGAUGACCCUUUUCUUUUCUUCUUGGAAUAUACUAGUCAUGUUAAUGUAGAUUAGGGCAAUAUAUUCAUCUUUCACAAUUUAAUUUUCAUUGUGAAUAUGUUAUCAUGUAUCCGAUUUACAUUUACAUAAAUCCGAGUCCUUUGCUAACACUACAAUUCUAUAAUGGUAUUGGAAUCUAGGAUAGAGUAGUAUCAAAGAACAUCUUUUGGAAAAGUUUAAUCUCAUUGUUUAGGAUAAAUAUUUUUAAAAUAAGAGUUUAAUUUUCAGAAACAAAUAGUUAUUCAAUAUCAAUAUUUUUGCAUUAUUUGAUUAAUUAAAAAUCAUUGAAGAUAUAAUUUUAAAUUAAGUUAUUAUAAAAGUUAAUAAUCUUAUGUUAAUAUGCCAACUUGUAAUUGAAUAUAGUUUAACGAGAAGUGAAAAAAUGGGUUAGUUGGCUCAAAAAAGGUUGUGGACUAUAGUGAGGCAAACCAAGGAAGUCCAGAUUCAAUUCAAACAUCUAGGUUAAGUAAGGUCUAGUGAAAGUUUUUUUUUGUUGUUGGAGAUUUGGUGUUUUUGUGGGCUAAGAUUGGAUCAAAAUUGAGUUAAAAUAAUCCUGUUUAAUUCGAAUUAAACAUUUAAAGUCCAAGUCUUACAUUUCAGGUGACCAAACUAACCCAACCUUUUUUCUAUUUUGCUGCCCCAAAUAUUUAAAUUAAAUUUUAUAUAGUACAUAAAAUCUUUGUUUGGUUUAAUUAAAUAAAUCCCAAAAUGAAUAUAUUCAAUAAGAAGUCAUUAAUGUUUUUCUUGGUUUUGGUUAUUGCAAAAUUUAAAAUUUACUGGCAGCCAACCUAUCAAGUGAUUCAGCCAAUCAACGGUGACCCAUUCAUUGGAAGCCUGGAAACCCCAGUUACAUCCAGCCCUUUGAUCGCAUGGUACUUGUCCAACCUGCCCGCAUACAGAACCGCAGUGAGCCCACUACUAAGAGGGAUCGAGGUGGGCCUGGCCCACGGAUACCUUCUGGUGGGCCCAUUCGUGAAGGCCGGGCCUCUUAGGAACACCGAGAUCGCCGGGCAAGCGGGCUCUCUGGCCGCCGGUGGGCUUGUGGUGAUCCUCAGCCUUUGCCUC
rnacentral:lncRNA from 1 species